AUUGAACGCUGGCGGCAGGCCUAACACAUGCAAGUCGAACGAGUGGCGGACGGGUGAGUAAUGUCUGGGAAACUGCCUGAUGGAGGGGGUUAACUACUGGAAACGGUAGCUAAUACCGCAUACCAUCCGAUGAGCCCAGAUGGGAUUGGCUAGUUGGUGGGGUAACGGCUCACAAGGGCGACGAUCCCUAGCUGGUCUGAGAGGUUGACCGGCCACACUGGAACUGAGACACGGUCCAGACUCCUACGGGAGGCAGCAGUGGGGAAUAUUGCAAAAUGGGCGCAAGCCUGAUGCAGCCAUGCCGCGUGUGUGAUGAAGGCCUUCGGGUUGUAAAGUACUUUCAGCGGGGAGGCGUUACCCGAAGAAGAAGCACCGGCUAACUCCGUGCCAGCCGCCGCGGUAAUAC
rnacentral:rRNA from 1 species